rnacentral:rRNA from 1 species
CCUACGGGAGGCAGCAGUGGGGAAUAUUGGACAAUGGGCGCAAGCCUGAUCCAGCAAUGCCGCGUGUGUGAAGAAGGCCUGCGGGUUGUAAAGCACUUUUGUUCGGGAAGAAAACGGAUCGGUUAAUACCCGGUUCGGAUGACGGUACCGAAAGAAUAAGCACCGGCUAACUUCGUGCCAGCAGCCGCGGUAAU